GACGAACGCUGGCGGCGUGCUUAACACAUGCAAGUCGAGCGAUGAAGCUCCUUCGGGAGUGGAUUAGCGGCGGACGGGUGAGUAACACGUGGGCAACCUGCCUUAUAGAGAGGAAUAGCCAUCCGAAAGGAUGAUUAAUACCUCAUAAUAUUGUAGCUUCGCAUGAAGCAACAAUCAAAGGAGCAAUCCACUAUAAGAUGGGCCCGCGGUGCAUUAGCUAGUUGGUGAGGUAACGGCUCACCAAGGUGACGAUGCGUAGCCGACCUGAGAGGGUGAUCGGCCACAUUGGGACUGAGACACGGCCCAGACUCCUACGGGAGGCAGCAGUGGGGAAUAUUGCACAAUGGGGGAAACCCUGAUGCAGCAACGCCGCGUGAGUGAUGACGGCCUUCGGGUUGUAAAGCUCUGUCUUCAGGGACGAUAAUGACGGUACCUGAGGAGGAAGCCACGGCUAACUACGUGCCAGCCGCCGCCGUAAUAC
rnacentral:rRNA from 1 species